ACAAAAAUACAUCUUCCAUGGCUUAGUUGAUGUAUUAUAUUUUCAUUCAGAAGAACACUUUUUUGUCCAUUUUCGCCCGAGUAACACUUUUUUUUUUUUUUUUUUAGCAGAAGUCAGUUUCCUACUUAAUUUAAUUAAUCAAUCAAGCGUGAAAGUUAUUAAGGUAGGCCUAUUUCUGCUACUCUCAUCUACUCCAUGCAAAACUUCAGAGCACUUCAUAGCUGGAUUGACUGAAUUGGCAUUAACCGGGGAAGUAUUACACCCUGUCUACAAAACUGUCACCAAAAUAUGAACCAUAAUAGAAAAUUAACAUUAUGAUUAUAAAAAUCAUAUGUUGUUCAGACUAUCCCUAUGCCUUCAUAGUAGGCCUAUAAGCAAUGAUGUUUUAAAUGUUGAGUGUUGAGUUAUCUAGGCUAAAUCAGGGUCAUACAUUUACAAAAAAUGUUGAGGUUAAAAGACGUUCCUAACUGGGACAUUAAAGGUGGGGUAGGAGUUGUUUGGAGCAUACUCUCUGGAGCAUUUUUUAAUAUAUUGCUUGAAAUACUCUUCACACCCCCAUUGCAACCAAUUAAUUAAAAGUUUUGACACAAAAAUGAAAAAAAUUAGUGGCGUCUAGAACGAGAAAUCUAGGAAAAACACUAUCCAAUCAUACUGAGCGGACCGUUGACAAUGAUUGGAUUCUGAUUACGUCUAUCAAACUGCACUCUGCUCCUCCCUCCCCCUCCCUCUCCCUCUGCGCGUACCCUUCUUCGUGAACGUGCUGAUUGCGUGUGCUCGCCCUGAAGCUUGCCAGGAAGCUAGAGCCAGCUUGGUUAGCACGUAGCAUUCCUAAACGUAUAGUUAGCAUACAAGAUACGGCAACGACGAUUUGAACAUUAUGGCAGAAAAGGUGCCAACAACGGGCCGAAAAAGAAAGACUGUUUUGAGAAGGCUUCUGCCAAAAAAAAGGGCAGACGAAGACAGCCAAGACCCGAGUGGCCAUCGGUGCUGCUGCAUUUGUUCGAUGGCGUCAGCUAAAGGAACAGCAAGAGCUGCAAACGGAUGCCAUGGUGGCCCUAUUUCUACUGGAUAGGUAAGAUUACAUUAUGUCUUUAUAAUGUUUGAGAGCACUUGUUAAUGCUUUAGGACAGUAUGUUGUCGUUUCUAACAAGUAUUCAGCCAGUGAGAGGAUAAAACGAUGUAGACGAGCUGCAAUGCCCCGGCAUGUUUGGCUAAGUUAGCUAACACCGAAGUAUGUCAACGUUACUGCUUUCAAUCGCUAAUCAAAGUUAUUUGUAUAUCCGUGAAGAUUUUUCCCCAUGGCAUUUAUUUCAUGCUUCUAAACUAUUUACUAACUUGAUGACUCUUAUUUAUUGUUUUGUUAGUUACGUGAAGGGCACAACAUCUACACCCGUGAAACAAGGUUUCAAGAGACCCCCUCCUCCCCCGUAUCCACAAUUCUGACAGAAACCCCCUCUGACACCUAAAGGACCGUUCAAAGACAGUGGCAUACACCAUUCUUAGUUUAGACAUCUGGCAUGGAUCAAAGAACUUGAGCAAAAGACUUGUAGCGGCAGGGCAGCAAAAGGGAUGCUGUGACUUACUGACAUGGAGCAAAGAUGUCUGCAACCAUUUCUGGCAUUGUUGCAAAGCUGCAAGCUGUUAUGAAGAGUUCAUGGACCUGUGGAUGGGACUCCUGCACCACGUCACAGGAGAACAUGAGUGGGCCCUUGGUGCCUGCCACCACGGCCCUUUGGAGGACAGCAGAGAGAAAGACUGGAUACAACAGGGCAGUUUGGCACACCAGAGAUUGUGGGAAAUUGUUCUUGAGGCAGGCUGGCUGAAGAACAUCGUCAAGUAUCUGCGUUUCAGCACAGGCCUCUCCACCCACAGACUAGGCCCCACAGUGUUGCAGCAUGUGCCUGACCUACCAGCCAGCACUGACCAGAUGCAUCAGCUAUGAGGAAACAGUUUCC